rnacentral:lncRNA from 1 species
GCGAUGUUCUCUCCUACGUUCCAGCGCCUCCGAAGGCUUAACUCAGGCCCACUCCACAGUGAUGUGUUUGUUGAACUUCUGUAGCAGUUAUCGUCUGUCCUACUUGGAGUGUUCCGAGCUGUGAAUGUUCACAGUCAUAUGCUCCUUUGCUGUCACAUAUUUGGAAAUAAACGAGCUCGCAGGAGUUGACUGGAGGCUGACUCGUUUGGGGAAUAAAAUCGUCUAACAGCUCCUGGCUUUGGAUUCUAACCUAUUUCAGUGAUGAUACCAUCAUCAAUGUCCUCUACUUCCCCCCUCUUUGUUCUGUGC